rnacentral:tRNA from 2 species
GCCCAGCUGGUUCAGUCGGUGGAGCAUGUGACUCAGGAUCUCAGGGUUGUGGGUUUGAGCCCCACGUUGGGUG